rnacentral:rRNA from 1 species
UACGUAGGGGGCUAGCGUUGUCCGGAUUUAUUGGGCGUAAAGAGCGUGUAGGCGGCCUGGUAGGUCUGCUGUGAAAACUCGAGGCUCAACCUCGAGAUGUCGGCGGAAACCAUCUGGCUAGAGUCCGGAAGAGGAGAGUGGAAUUCCUGGUGUAGCGGUGAAAUGCGCAGAUAUCAGGAAGAACACCCGUGGCGAAGGCGGCUCUCUGGGACGGUACUGACGCUGAGACGCGAAAGCGUGGGGAGCGAACAGG